AUCAGAAUUAAAUUGUUGUAAUAUGAAUGUCUGUGAAACGCCUUGUUUUGAACCCAAAGAGGACAAGAAGAAGCUACUGAACAACAUGGAAGGCGAUGAGCUGUACUAAAAACUAUCUAAACAAGAUAGGCUGUGACUGUAUAAAGUAUUAAAAAGUUGUUAAGUUUUUGAAAUUUAUAUUUAUAAAUGAAUGUACCUUUGAAUUUUAUAGCUAUGUGUUCAAGGAGAGUUAGUUGAAAUUGGCAGGUUUAUUCAGAGUGGUCCAGUAUUUUCAGAUUGCAAGAUAAGUUGUGUAUUUGCAUAGUUCAAAUGAACUUAUUCUAACAAUUUUUUUCUGUGAAAAAUAAAAAAACGAGAUCAUCAGCUCACGGCAGAUAAAAUUUCCAGUACUGCGUACUUAGAUAAUAUACCUCGAAAUUGAAAAGUUUAUUUAUGUUUCAUCCAGAUUUUUCAUGGGUGACACAAUAGUUAAUAUGUAAUAAUUUCAAUUUGAAUCCUACAUUAUUCAUAGGAUAUAACUUCUCUACCAUACAUUCUAUAUUUGGUAGAGCUAUAUUCAAAAAUUUCUCAUAACUAUGAAGAUUACAGUUGAACUCACUUUAUUUCAAAUAGGCCUUGCCAAUUACUAUUCUACAAACACUGAGACAACGAAUUAUUGGGCCCCUCUGUAUAAUUGAUAAAGCAUGUUGAUAUUGACGUCAUUCCUAAAAAUAUAUGUAAGAAUUGCCAUGACGAGUCAAGUGCUUUCUUGAUCCAUCUUUAAGCAGAGAAUACUUAAUUUCUAGGAGUAUACUUAAUUUACAAACAUUUGAGUAUAUAACAGUAUAGAAACCAAAGGGAUGUUCCAUGAAAGACUUUAAGCAUUUACUCGACUUCCAUUUGGUGGUACAUAGAAUCUUUAUUGAUGAGAUUGACACCACUUUUUCAUUGUUUUCUGCAAAAUGAACAAAGUUCACUGCCAAUAUAUAGGUCACCCUUGGUUGUUUAUGUUAUAUCCAAAUAACUUUCAUGGAAUUAUAUGUCCAUUCUUAGAAGGUAGAUUUAGAAAGAUUUUGUUUUUCUUUGUUCAAAUAAGUUAUUGUAUUUGACCA